rnacentral:rRNA from 1 species
CCUACGGGCGGCAGCAGUGAGGAAUAUUGGUCAAUGGACGAGAGUCUGAACCAGCCAAGUAGCGUGAAGGAUGACUGCCCUAUGGGUUGUAAACUUCUUUUAUAGGGGAAUAAAGGUAUCCACGUGUGGAUAUUUGCAUGUACCCUAUGAAUAAGCAUCGGCUAACUCCGUGCCAGCAGCCGCGGUAAUACGGAGGAUGCGAGCGUUAUCCGGAUUUAUUGGGUUUAAAGGGUGCGUAGGCGGGCUUUUAAGUCAGCGGUAAAAAUUCGGGGCUCAACCCCGUCCGGCCGGUGAAACUGGGGGCCUUGAGUGGGCGAGAAGAAGGCGGAAUGCGUGGUGUAGCGGUGAAAUGCAUAGAUAUCACGCAGAACCCCGAUUGCGAAGGCAGCCUUCCGGCGCCCUACUGACGCUGAGGCACGAAAGUGCGGGGAUCGAACAGGAUUAGAUACCCUAGUAGUC